rnacentral:rRNA from 1 species
GACGAACGCUGGCGGCGUGCUUAACACAUGCAAGUCGAACGGAAAGGCCCUGCUUUUGUGGGGUGCUCGAGUGGCGAACGGGUGAGUAACACGUGAGUAACCUGCCCUUGACUUUGGGAUAACUUCAGGAAACUGGGGCUAAUACCGGAUAGGAGCUCCUGCUGCAUGGUGGGGGUUGGAAAGUUUCGGCGGUUGGGGAUGGACUCGCGGCUUAUCAGCUUGUUGGUGGGGUAGUGGCUUACCAAGGCUUUGACGGGUAGCCGGCCUGAGAGGGUGACCGGCCAGGUGGGGAGUGAGAUGCGGCGCAGACUCCUGCGGGAGGCAGCAGUGGGGAGGGUUGAACAAUGGCCGGAAGCCUGAGGCAGCAUGGCGGCGGGCGGGAUGAGGGCCGGAGGGUUGUGGACAGCUAUCGCCUGGGAAGAAGCGGGAGAGACGGCAAGGGGUAGAUGAGCAACGGCUAACCACGU